rnacentral:rRNA from 1 species
AGUCGAACGGCAGCACGGACUUCGGUCUGGUGGCGAGUGGCGAACAGGUGAUAAUGUAUCGGAACGUGCCUAGUAGCGAGGGAUAACUACGCGAAAGCGUAGCUAAUACCACAUACGCCACUCUCCCGAGGAAAGCGGGGGCCUUCGGGCCUCGCACUAUUAGGGCGGCCGAUAUCGGAUUGGCUAGUUGGUGGGGUAACGGCUCACCAAGGCGACGAUCGUAGCUGGUUUUGAGAGGACGACCAGCCACACUGGGACUGAGACACGGCCCCCAGACUCCUACGGGAGGCAGCAGUGGGGAAUUUUGGACAAUGGGGAAACCCUGAUCCAGCCAUCCCGCGUGUGCGAUGAAGGCCUUCGGGUUGUAAAAAGCACUUUUGGCAGGAAAGAAACGGCACGGGAUAAUACCGUGCAACUGACGGUACCUGCAGAAUAAGCACCGGCUAACUACGUGCCAGCAGCCGCGGUAAUACGUAGGAGGGGUGCAAGCGUUAAUCGGAAUACUGGGCGUAAAGCGUGCGCAGGCGGUUCCGGAAAGAAAGAUGUGAAAUCCCAGAGCUUAACUUUGGAACUGCAUUUUUUAACUACCGAGCUAGAGUGUGUCAGAGGGAGGUGGAAUUCCGCGUGUAGCAGUGAAAUGCGUAGAUAUGCGGAGGAACACCGAUGGCGAAACCUCCUGGGAUAACACUGACGCUCAUGCACGAAAGCGUGGGGAGCAAAACUGGGAUUAGAUAUACCCUGUUAGACCACGCCUAAACGAUAUGUCAACUAGCUGUUGGGGCCUUCGGGCCUUGGUAGCGCAACUAACGUGAAGUUGACCGCCUGGGGAGAGUACGGUCGCAAGAUUAAAACUCAAAGGAAUUGACGGGGACCCGCACAAGCGGUGGAUGAUGUGGAUUAAUUCGAUGCAACGCGAAAACCUUACCUACCCUUGACAUGUCUGGAAUCCCGAGAUUUGGGAGUGCUCACAAGAGAACCGGAACACAGGUGCUGCAUGGCUGUCGUCAGCUCGUGUCGUGAGAUGUUGGGUUAAGUCACAACGAAGCACCCAACCCUUGUCAUUAGUUGCUACGAAGGGCACUCUAAUGAGACUGCCGGUGACAAACCGGAGGAAGGUGGGGAUGACGUCAAGUCCAUAUGGCCCUUAUGGGUAGGGCUUCACGUCAUACAAUGGUCGGGACAGAGGGUCGCUUCAACCCGCGAGGGGGAGCGUCCCAGAGAAACCCGAUCGUAGUCCGGAUCGCAGUCUGCAACUCGACUGCGUGAAGUCAGAAUCGCUAGUAAUCGCGGAUCAGCAUGUCGCGGUGAAUACGUUCCCGGGUCUUGUACACACCGCCCGUCACACCAUGGGAGUGGGUUUUACCAGAAGUAGUUAGCUAACCGCAAGGGGCGAUUACCACGGUAGGAUUCAUGACUGGGGUGAAGUCGUAACAAGGUAG